GGAGGAUGCAAGCGUUAUCCGGGAUUCAUUGGGGUUUAAAGGGUGCGUAGGCGGAAUGAUAAGUUAGUGGUGAAAGCCCCCCGGCUCAACCGGGGGGGAACUGCCAUUUAAAACUGUCAUUCUUGAGUAUAGUUGAAGUGGGCGGAAUGUAUCAUGUAGCGGUGAAAUGCUUAGAUAUGAUACAGAACACCGAUAGCGAAGGCAGCUUGCUAAACUAUAACUGACGCUCAGGCACGAAAGCGUGGGGAGCAAACAGGAUUAGAUACCCUGGUAGUCCACGCCGUAAACGAUGAUCACUCGCUGUUGGCGAUACACAGUCAGCGGCUUAGGGAAACCAUUAAGUGAUCCACCUGGGGAGUACGGUCGCAAGAUUG
rnacentral:rRNA from 1 species